CUUAAUAGCUCAUUUCCUUUCUCUGUGCCGGUUACAAACAUCUUCCACACAGCACAACGACGCCGCCGAUCAAAAGGUAAACAACUCCUCCCCUCUCUUACUAUUAUUUCAAAGACAUGAAAUAGAGAUCGAAAUAGAAAGAAGAAAACAUGAAAAAAAAAAACUAAAUCACCCUCCUUUUUAUUUUGUUUCAUACUUAUAUAAAAAAAGAACAGAACAACAGAAAAAAAAAGAAAAACUUUUAAAAAAUCCCCUCCAAAAAAAAAAACUCAGUCUUUCCUUUUCAUUUUCUUUUUGUAAUUUCUUGAAACAAUAUGCGUGUCUUCUCCCUGUUAUAGAUUUUAAUUGGCUUUUUAUAGCCAAAACGAAAAGGAAAAUAGAUAUAUAAAAAAUAAUAAUAAUAUUUCUUUCCUUCCAUUUCGCUAUUAGUCCCUUUCUUUUUGCUGCUUGCUUCCUUGUUUGCUGAAUUGCAGGUACGUGGCCAGUCAACGUGGAGGUGUGGCGCGUAAAUGGCGGCGACGACAGCGCACUUGGUUGCUGUCAGGCUUGCCUCUACCUAGGGUUUUUUGUUUUUUUCUCUGCUUAAAAUGUUGGGUGUAUUGGGCUGCUUGUUGGGAUAGGGUUUAGGUUAUUUUUGUUUUAAUUAUUUAUGUAAUUGGGCUAAGAUCUUGGGUUUAUUUUGGGUGUAAAUGGACAAUGGACUGAAUUUUAUUUUAUUUGGUUUUA